UCUGCCUACGGGGGGCAGCAGUGGGGAAUAUUGCACAAUGGGGGAAACCCUGAUGCAGCGACGCCGCGUGAGUGAAGAAGUAUUUCGGUAUGUAAAGCUCUAUCAGCAGGGAAGAAAAUGACGGUACCUGACUAAGAAGCCCCGGCUAACUACGUGCCAGCAGCCGCGGUAAUACGUAGGGGGCAAGCGUUAUCCGGAUUUAUUGGGUUUAAAGGGUGCGUAGGCGGAACAUUAAGUCAGCGGUAAAAUCGAGGGGCUCAACCCCUUUAAGCCGUUGAAACUGUUGAUCUUGAGUGGGCGAGAAG
rnacentral:rRNA from 1 species